UCUGGUUGAUCUGCAGUAGUUAUAUGCUUUGUCUCAAAGAUUAAGCCAUGUCUAUUGUCUAAAGGUACACACGAAAUAAAAGUAAGAAACCGCAAAACUCAUAUACCAGUUAUGGUUCCUUAGAUCGUUAACAGUUACUGGAUAACUGUGGUAAUCUAGAGCUAAUACAUGCAAUAUAAACACACGGCCUUUUGGACGUGUGCUUUUAUUAGGCUAAAACCAAGCGAUCCCAGAUCGUCAUUAUGGUUGAACUCUAGAUAACUUGCAGAUCGUAUGGUCUUGUACCGACGACAGAUCUUUCAAAUGUCUGCCUUAUCAACCAGAUCUUUCAAAUGUCUGCCCUAACGAUCUUUCAAAUGUCUGCCCUAUCACUUUUGAUGGUAGUCCUAGAUACUACCUGGUGCUAGUAUCUAGGACUACAUGGUUGCUACGGGUAAACGGGAAUCAGGGUUCGAUUCCCGGAGGAGGGAGUGAGAAACGGCGUACCACGCCUGAGAAACGGCUACCACAUCAUAAGGAAGGCAGCAGGCGACGUUAAAUUACCCACUCCCAGCUCGGGGAGGUAGUGAACGAAAAAUAACAAUACAGGACUCAUAUCCGAGGCCCUGUAAUUGGAAUGAGUACACUUUAAAUCCUUUAACUAAGGACCCAUGAGGGCAAGUCUUGCCAGCAGCCGCGGUAGCCAGUGGAGGGCAAGUCUGGUGCCAGUCAGCCGCGCAAGUCUGGUGCCAGCAGCCGCGCAAUUCCAGCUCCAAUAGCGUAUAUUAAAGUUGUUGCGGGUUAAAACGUUCGUAGUUGAAUUUGUGCUUCAUACGGGUAGUACAACUAUAAUUGUGUAUGUACAUUACCUAUGUAUGUAACGUAUACCCGGUGUUUGGUGGAGUUCUUAUAUAUGUUUGAAAUACUUGUUACUUUCAUAUGUUCCUCCUAUUUAAACCUGCUUUGUGCUCUUCAUCGAGUGUUGUGUGGGCGGUACUAAUUUACUUUGUUGUGGGCCGUACUAAUUACUUUAGAAACUAAAUUAGAGUGCUUAAAGCAGGCUCAAAAAUGCCUGAAUAUCUGUGCAUGGGAAUAAUGAAUAAGACCUCUGUUCAUAAUAGAAAUAAGACCUACUGUUCUGUCUUUCAUUGGUUUUUCAGAUCAAGGGUAAUGAUUAAUAGAAGCAAGUAUUACGACGCGAGAGUAUUACGACGCGAGAGGUGAAAUUCUUGGACCGUCGUAAGACUAACUUAAGCGAAAGCAUGCCAAAGAUGUUUUCAUUAAUCAAAAACGAAAGUUAGAGGUUCGAAGGCGAUCAGAUACCGCCCUAGUUCUAACCAUAAACGAUGCCAGCUAGUAAUUGGGUGUAGCUACUAUUAUGGCUCUCUCAGUCGCUUCCCGGGAAACCGAAAAGUCGUUGGCGUCCGGGGGGAAUAUAGGUUGCAAAGCUGAAACUUAAAGAAUUGACGAGGCCCACCAGGAAUGGAGCCUGCGGCUUAACUUGACUCAACACGGGAAAACUUACCAGGUCCGAACAUAAGCGUGUAAGACAGAUUGAUACUUUCUCGAAUCUAUGGGUGUGGUGCAUGGGCCGUUCUUAGUUCGUGGGUUGAUUUGUCUGGUUAAUUCCGAUAAGACGAGACUCAAAUAUUAAAUAGGAUGCUUUCAGGAUUAUGGUGUUGAAACUUAUAUAGCCUUCAAGCAUGAAUUCAUGAUUGUUUGAAUUAUAUAGCCUUCAAGCAUGAAUCACAUGAUUGUUGAAUGUGUUUAUAAAUAAGCGGAGCCGUACCUGUGGGUUUGUCCCAUAUAAGGACACUAGCUUCUUAAAUGGACAAAUUGCGUCUAGCAUUAUAGAGAUAGCAAUAACAGGUCUGUGAUGCCCUUAGAUGUCCUGGGCUGCACGCGCGCUACAAUGAAAGUAUAACGUGUAUUUCCUAGACCGAGAGGUCCGGGUAAACCGCUGAACCACUUCAGCUUGGGAUUGUGACGAAACUGUUCACAUGAACUUGGAAUUCCCAGUAAGUGUGAGUCAUUAACUCGCAUUGAUUACGUCCCUGCCCUUUGUACACACCGCCCGCGCUACUACCGAUGAAAUUAUUUAGUGGGGCUCCGGACGUGAUCGCUGUAACGCUUUGUUUACGGUUGAUUCGCAAAAGUUGACCGAACUUGAUUAUUUAAGAGGAAAAAAGUCGUAACAAGGUUUCCGUAGGUGAACCUGCGGAAG
rnacentral:rRNA from 1 species